rnacentral:rRNA from 1 species
CCUACGGGUGGCUGCAGUGGGGAAUAUUGGACAAUGGGGGCAACCCUGAUCCAACCAUGCCGCGUGUGUGAAGAAGGCCCUCGGGUUGUAAAGCACUUUCAGUGAGGAAGAACGCCUGGUGGUUAAUACCCAUCAGGAAAGACAUCACUCACAGAAGAAGCACCGGCUAACUCCGUGCCAGCAGCCGCGGUAAUACGGAGGGUGCGAGCGUUAAUCGGAAUUACUGGGCGUAAAGCGCGCGUAGGUGGCUUGAUAAGCCGGUUGUGAAAGCCCCGGGCUCAACCUGGGAACGGCAUCCGGAACUGUCAAGCUAGAGUGCAGGAGAGGAAGGUAGAAUUCCCGGUGUAGCGGUGAAAUGCGUAGAGAUCGGGAGGAAUACCAGUGGCGAAGGCGGCCUUCUGGACUGACACUGACACUGAGGUGCGAAAGCGUGGGUAGCAAACAGGAUUAGAUACCCGGGUAGUC